GAUGAAGAACGUAGCGAAAUGCGAUAAGUAAUGUGAAUUGCAGAAUUCAGUGAAUCAUCGAAUCUUUGAACGCACAUUGCGCCCCUUGGUAUUCCGAGGGGCAUGCCUGUUCGAGCGUCAUUAUCACCCCCCAAGCUUUGCUUGGUGUUGGGGCCUGCUGUAAUAGGCAGCCCUUAAAAUCAGUGGCGGUGCUUCAAGGCUCUAAGCGUAGUAAUUCUCCUCGCUAUAGUGUCUAGUGGUUGCCAGCCAGAACCCCCCAAUUUUCAUGAUUGACCUCGGAUCAGGUAGGGAUACCCGCUGAACUUAAGCAUAUCAAUAAGCGGAGGA
rnacentral:misc_RNA from 1 species